UUAAAGACUAAAAUUUAAAGACUAAAAUUUAAGUUAUCAACAGUUCUGGUUAACAUUAUUUCCCAAUCUGACAUAUUCAUACUGUUCACUGACACAUGGAUAAAUGUAAUUCUAUCCUUAAGCUGUAGAUAAAGAGUCUUAGACCUAAUGACAGGGGCAAGGAUUUACUCUCUGGUUUUCUUUGGGAAGUUAUGGUUACAUCUAAUUGUAUAUCAGAUUCUAUAAGUUAGCCAAGUCUAGCACAAAAGCAAUUGUUCAACAGGUUAACUGCAUUGCACUUCAUAUUUUUGUUAUGUGGUUUCCUUGGUUUGAUUACACUUGACUGAGGAUUAAGGUAAACAUUCUCUAUUAGAUAAGAGGCUUUUGAAAAUAUAGCACUGCUUUUCAUUUUAAUAAAAUUGAAGACCAUGCUUCUGGCUGACUGGCUAUAACGCAGCUCAUCAACAUUGGCAAACAUGAACAGUUUGGCAUAGGGAAAAACUCUAUUUUUGAGUUUUAAAUCUUCUUUGUUUCCGUAUGAUUUAUAAUUCAUUAUUCGUUGUUUAAAUGGUGAUUUACCAGUAAUGACAUGCAGCUUUUUAGCUCCUUUUUUUUUCCUUGUCCAAGAUCAGUUUCAUUUUGGUACAAAUCUGCAAAUUUUCAAAUGUGACGUGCUAUUUUUUUUUUUAGAUAAGAUUCUGUUUUAUUAUAUGUAGGAAUUUUCCUUGAGAAUUUUAAUAGAAAUUUUG
rnacentral:misc_RNA from 1 species